rnacentral:rRNA from 1 species
UUGAACGCUGGCGGCAGGCCUAACACAUGCAAGUCGAACGGUAACAGGAAACAGCUUGGUGUUUCGCUGACGAGUGGCGGACGGGUGAGUAAUGUCUGGGAAACUGCCUGAUGGAGGGGGAUAACUACUGGAAACGGUAGCUAAUACCGCAUAACGUCGCAAGACCAAAGAGGGGGACCUUCGGGCCUCUUGCCAUCGGAUGUGCCCAGAUGGGAUUAGCUAGUAGGUGGGGUAACGGCUCACCUAGGCGACGAUCCCUAGCUGGUCUGAGAGGAUGACCAGCCACACUGGAACUGAGACACGGUCCAGACUCCUACGGGAGGCAGCAGUGGGGAAUAUUGCACAAUGGGCGCAAGCCUGAUGCAGCCAUGCCGCGUGUAUGAAGAAGGCCUUCGGGUUGUAAAGUACUUUCAGCGGGGAUGAAGGGAGUAAAGUUAAUACCUUUGCUCAUUGACGUUACCCGCAGAAGAAGCACCGGCUAACUCCGUG